rnacentral:rRNA from 1 species
AGUGAACGCUGCGGUAGGCCUAACCCAUGCAAGUCGAACGGCAGCACAGUAAGAGCUUGCUCUUACGGGUGGCGAGUGGCGGACGGGUGAGGAAUACAUCGGAAUCUACUUUUUCGUGGGGGAUAACGUAGGGAAACUUACGCUAAUACCGCAUACGACCUACGGGUGAAAGCAGGGGAUCUUCGGACCUUGCGCGAUUGAAUGAGCCGAUGUCGGAUUAGCUAGUUGGCGGGGUAAAGGCCCACCAAGGCGACGAUCCGUAGCUGGUCUGAGAGGAUGAUCAGCCACACUGGAACUGAGACACGGUCCAGACUCCUACGGGAGGCAGCAGUGGGGAAUAUUGGACAAUGGGCGCAAGCCUGAUCCAGCCAUACCGCGUGGGUGAAGAAGGCCUUCGGGUUGUAAAGCCCUUUUGUUGGGAAAGAAAAGCAGCAGGUUAAUACCCCGCUGUUCUGACGGUACCCAAAGAAUAAGCACCGGCUAACUUCGUG